AGUGAUGGCUUUCUCUCAGCAACUCCACACCGCAGGAAAAUAGCAUCCCACUAACUUCAACUGCCAUGUCCACCAUUCGCCUAUAAAAGGGCAUCAAACCAAAGGAAACGGGAUAGAGAGAAAAAAGAAGAGAGACUCUGCAGAAAUUGAGAGAGAAAAGAAGCAACGAAGUACUGAUCUCAUUGCCGACGAUUUCGAAUUGAGUCCUGCAGGGAAGGGGAAAAAACCACAAGCAACAAUCAGAAGGCCUUCCUUCCUCGCAUAGUGCUGCAACAACCGCCGACAUCAUACGAAAGUCCAACGGAGGCAACAGCCGCACCAUGUUUCCAGUCGUGGUCUCCGGUUGUCUUCUAGAAGGAGCCCAUGCACUCUGUGACUUGAAUGAGAUGGAUUUGCUGAUGCAGUGUCGCACAAAGCUAGAAGAGACCGAAAAGGUCACGACAACAGAGGAGAGAAACAACAACCUCUGCCCGACGACAGAGGAAGCUACAACAAGUAAUGAUCUUGUCGAGCCAUUACUAGCCCAGCACGGAAGCCAUUGAAGACCCGGUCCCUAUAGAAAGGCUACCAGGAAGAAGAUCGUCGAGUCGUUGUCCACGUUGCCCAAUAGUGCAUGUCGUAUCCUGUAAAAAGUAACCAAUGAACAACCUCAAAAUAUUGUGCACCAAGUUGUAAAAGAUGGUUCUCUACAAGCAAUAAGGCAAUGGUGCAGAAAUGGUGUUUCCAUCGUUUCGUUACUCCCACAAA